UGGGGAAUAUUGCACAAUGGGCGAAAGCCUGAUGCAGCGACGCCGCGUGAGGGCAUGACGGCCUUCGGGUUGUAAACCUCUUUCAGCAGGGAAGAAGCGAAAGUGACGGUACCUGCAGAAGAAGCGCCGGCUAACUACGUGCCAGCAGCCGCGGUAAUACGUAGGGCGCAAGCGUUGUCCGGAAUUAUUGGGCGUAAAGAGCUCGUAGGCGGUUAGUCGCGUCUGCUGUGAAAACUCGAGGCUCAACCUCGGGCUUGCAGUGGGUACGGGCUGACUAGAGUGCGGUAGGGGUGACUGGAAUUCCUGGUGUAGCGGUGGAAUGCGCAGAUAUCAGGAGGAACACCGAUGGCGAAGGCAGGUCACUGGGCCGCAACUGACGCUGAGGAGCGAAAGCAUGGGGAGCGAACAGGAUUAGAUACCCUGGUAGUCCAUGCCGUAAACGUUGGGCACUAGGUGUGGGUCCAUUCCACGGAUUCCGUGCCGCAGCAAACGCAUUAAGUGCCCCGCCUGGGGAGUACGGCCGCAAGGCUAAAACUCAAAUGAAUUGACGGGGUCAUAGCUGUUUCCU
rnacentral:rRNA from 1 species